CUAUAACAAGGGCUUUCAAAUCAAUGAUCAAUGUGUAUCUAAAUUGAGUCAAGUAAGUGAAUCAGAACUUGACAUUGUUCUGUGGUUACGGUAAAUUUGACCACAUUUCUGAAAUUCUUUUUCAGUAGCCUUGACGACAACGACAUGGGAAAUUCAAUAGAUGGUAUAGCGAUAUUCAAUCAAUCGUCACUGAGUUAUUGAAACGAAAACACCUCGCAGCAACAUCAUGCAACUAAACUAUGUAAAUAUUAUUGCAAUCCUUCACUUAAUCCUGCUGGCGAUAUGGGAGAAAUCUAAAUUUGGAGAACUAGGUGAUUGGCGUAAAGAUCCAAAUACCCAUCUGGAGCCCGCUAGCAACUGUGGAAAGUUCAUAUGUGGUGCUCGUGUGCCAACAGCGUGGUAGUAAAAUAGAUACUUACAUUUUGACUUGAUUGAUUUCCCCUGUGUUUUUUUGAAACUAAAUAAAGUUCGGAAAAUAAAAGAAAUAAA